GAUGUGGGGCUCGAACCCACGAGCCGCAAGAUCACGACCCGAGCCGAAGCCGGAUGGAUGCUCAGCCGACUGAGCCACCCAGGCGCCACCCCCCCGCUCACUCCUUCUUCAGCUACGGCGAUCCCGUAAAAAUGAUGCCCAGCUCAGACUUCUAGAAAGAUAUUCAAGCAUUUUUAGCAGCGUUUCUCAUGCUUCAAGUGCGUAUGAGCCACCUGGGGAAUUAUGCAGAUUUUUAUGAAUUUAUUAUGCAGGAUUAUGAGGUCUGAGUUUCUGCAUUUCUGACACACGUGUAGGUGACGCCAGGGCGCCUGCUUCAGGGACCGCACUUUGAGUAGCAGGGUUUUAUAUGGCUGCGAGAUGGAAGGUGUUGCUCUGCUGGGAACUUCAGGUGUAGUAACCCAGAAACCCAGAGAUAAAGGUCCAGAGGGAAGGAAGCACGAAACUCUCGACGUUUUCAGUACGCCCGAGGGAAGCCGUGUGAAAGGCUCCCAACCGGAGAAUGAAGAUCACUGAGUUCCAGAAACAUUUAAGAAAGUUUGGGAUUAUUGGACUCAGAAGCUGGUGGCAGACUGCCUUGUACACAUUAGGUAUCAAUAUUAAUUCAGUCCCCUCUGCUUUUUAGCCAUAGUCACACUGCGUGGUCACCUUGGAAUGAUGUCCAGGAAGCUCACUAUGUUUCCAGGAUUCACUUUCACGUCUUUAAAGCUGAUCUCUUCCCCUUCGAAGUGUGACAGGCCCGGUCUGGAUGAAUGGGGCCCGCCUCCGGGACCGCAAGUGCCUGUCCAUGGAGCUUCUAAGGAGGAUCCUGUCACCCUAGUGGACCACACCUCUGACCUCCAGAGACACAGCUUCGCAGAAGACAGCAAUGUGCUCAUAUCUAUUAUCCCUGCAUUCAAUUUCAAAUCACAUGACAUAGUCUCUGGAGACCUCCACUGUGAGCUCAGGAAUGAACAGGAAUGGGAAAAGAUGCCUGCCUGAAAGCCAACUUAAUCGUUCAUAACGCUAAGCAGGAUUGCCGUGUAGACCAGAUGUACAAACGUCACGGCAGCAUUCUCUUUCCGAGGUCAAGAUGCGAGAGUAUCCGGGAAGCAUCUGGAGCCAUCCAUUUGCAAGGAGAGAGCACCAGGAAUAUAAGCGCCACCAGGGCAAGAAUGUCUGUUUAUUUACGCUAUAUGAGUAAAUUACAGCGCUGGGAUUGAGAACGAUGUCGCCACAGUCCAACUACCUCGGCCUGAAUCUCAGUUGAAUCAGCUGGUGGACUUUGGUUUAUGCUUCUGCCUGUCUGCACAUUCAAGGUUAAGUUCAUAAGAUGUGGGGGUCUAGCACUCCAUCUGUUCAUUCCCGUACUACAGAGAAGGGCAAAGUCAAUACCUCACCCUGCAGGUACCACCUGAUGAUGCCUUCCUAAUCACCACUCCCCUCUAGCUGCCACCUGUCCUGGAUCUCACCCAAAGACCCUUUAGGGGAAGGUGAAACCCUUCAUUAGCACCUCAAUGAGCUUCACCCUCCUUGCCUGAGAAUUCUUUCCCAGGGCAUGAACAGAAGUGUCAAGUCCAGUAAUUGGGCCAAACGAUACUGUUAUACUGUUCUCUUGUGCUGUGCCCACAGCAUCCAUGAGGCCCCACAAUUGCUCGUGGAAUCCCCAAGCUAAGAGACCAGAGAGAGAACCGUCCAAGCACACAGCAUUUUCCAGUUGAGGAGACGGAGCCUCCUGGAAUGACUUGCCCAAAGACACACACACCUGGUUAGUGGGGCGGUGGGAACAAAGCCCAGACUCUGCCCCUAGCCAGCUGUUCUCACGCUUAGCCACCCUGCCUUGCUCCUUUCUCAUGGCUCACCAUAUGGUAGCCCUGAUUUUUGCCUUCAUGUCAAGUCAAAGCCGUGCGCUUGUCACAAAGUGAGUUUACAAGGCUGAUAACCCACUGCCCCACAUAGUACGGUCCCUCACGGGGCAGUUCUGUGGUUCCAGGCUCUCCGGGCAGCUGCCCAAAGUGAAUCAAAGCUGGAAAGUCUUGUGACUUGAGGCCCUCUUGGUUGAAAAUGACUUCUCUCCAGGACAUGUGGCCCCCGACAACGUUUAUGCUGAGUUGCCUGUGCAGCAUGGCGAAUAAGGGCUCUCAAGCUGACAGGCUAUGAGAGCGAUGGUCUACACUGCAGAGCAUCUGGGAAAUCCAAAACCACAAAAUGCAAAUGGAUGGAUGCAAGGCGCAUCACCUUCAUUGUCAAUGUCGGAAAAGUGUAUCUCGCUCCGGCCAACGUUUGAUGGAAUGUGACACCCGGAAAGGACAUGGUGCCCCACAGCCCUCCAUUUCCAGAGACUUGUUUGGAAUCGAGAAGAAAGUCCCCAUCCAUUGUCAAUCGGCACCAAGACCUGGACAUAAGAAAUCCAGCAAAGAAUUCAUUCCUGUCCUGCCCUUUCUGGCCACGUUGCAGAGGAUGGCUGUGUGUGUUGUGGCAAACUUCCCGCUCCCAGUCAACCAAAUGAAGCUGUACAGACUGAAUACAAAGCAUUUGCUAGAGAAAGAAAACCAAAGAAUCAGAGACGAGACCAAAAGCUAGAAGGCUUUGCCUCUCAGUUGCUCAGAGGGAUCACUCAGAGGCUGUUUUCCUCUGGAGAAAUAACAUAAUCAACAGAGGCUGGAAGUUCCAAAAUAAAGUUUAGAAAAAAAAUAAUAAAUGGAGGUGAUUCAAAACAGUGGUAAUUACCCAUUCUUUCCCCAUUCUAGAUGACUCACACUGGAUCAAUAAUCCAAAUGACUUUCUUCUCAUUAGUCCCAAAUUGGAAAACUUUGCCAGGGUUGUAAGAAGGAGAGUUGAUGUGCAUUAGCUGAAUUCAGUUUCGAAUUCAGUUUCGUGGAUGCUAAGUGCCCCCACAAGCUUAAAAUAAAAUACCUGCUUUACAGACUUGUCUAUAAUUCUCCAUGGCAGAGGAGAUAACUGAGCAAGCUAUUGCGGGGGCCCCCCCCCCGCUGGUUCUAAGCAAACAAAAAAUAAUAAUAAUAAUAAUAAUAAUAAUAAUAAUAAAACACCUCUGCUUCCAUCAUCUGGAAAUUGAGAUGCCAGCACGUCAGUCUUGUGAAGUGUGAAUGUUAGUGUGUUAAAUAAACAUUU